rnacentral:rRNA from 1 species
AUGAGCCGCUACUACGCGCCCUUUCGCGGCGCUGCCAGCGGGGACGGCGGAGGCUGCCUGCCGCUUCCUAUCAUCGCCGCUGAGGCCGCGCUAGCUGUUGUCGACGCCGCCAUUGCUGCCACCGCCUUCGUGCAGUUAGCGAGAAUUCACAGGCACAAUCAGCAACAUGGAUGGACUCGGCAAAAGAUAUUCCAUUUUAUGAUUGGCCUAUGCAACAUAGUAUUCCUUGCGUAUUUCGUAUCUACCGUCAUCGCUACUUGUGAGAAAUGGGUUUGUUGGGUACAUGGAUGCGGAUUUGUUUUGAUGGCUAGUCCGCAGAUAUUGCUUCUUGCCUCGUUUCUACUACUGUUGUCUUUCUGGGUUGACCUGUGUCAUCAGACAAAUGAUGAAGAUGAAGAUGAUGUAAGGAGUCACCAAGAAGCUUUACUAGACAGAACAAAAACCAAACCUGGCACCCGCCCUACUGAUGCCCGUCGGAAGUGUUUCCCAGGAAUACAGCUUGGAAGCCGGCAAAAAUUUGUGAUUUUGGUUCUUGUACUGUCAUUUAUUGUUAUGCUCGCCUUUGCCAUCCUCAUCUGGGUUGGUAGGGGAGAAAAUCCUAUUGAUUCAUCACUACUGAAAAAGGUUUAUUUGGAUGUGUUUUCAGUAGUUGUUCUAGUACUUGGCGCUGCUUUGGCAUGUUAUGGUGCAUUAUUGUUCUCGAAGAUGAGCAAAGUUCGUUCUGAAACCGUGUCAACUGAGAAGUGGAAGGUUGCCAGUUUAGCUGCUGUCUCACUUAUCUGUUUCUCGUCUUCUGCUAUACUAGCACUUGUUACUAAUAUUCCAGUGCUUUUGUAUUGGUACUCGACUGAGGCGGAGAUCAUAAAAAAUGCUGUUAUAUUAUUUUUAUAUUAUUUAAUAGGCUCAUCGGUGCCAUCAGGAUUUGUUUUAUGGGUCAUGAGAGAUAUGCCUCAACGACCAACAGUGGAAAGGCCCACCCAAUCGAGAGUGGUUACCUUGUUCAGGGACAGACCAUCCCCUACACAGGAUCCACAGUGGAGAGCUGCUGUUACAUCCUCUAACAAGGCCCUCAAGUCAAGCCCAAUUUAA